UGUGUGCUCUAUCUUCAGGGCUGGGAGCGGUGUGUGUGUGCUCUAUCUUCAGGGCUGGGAGCGGUGUGUGUGUGCUCUAUCUUCAGGGCUGGGAGCGGUGUGUGUGUCUGGAUGUGAAUCAGUUUACCUGGGUCUGGUUCCAGAGGAGAGCUGUAGAGUUGAGAUCCUGGAACCAUUUGAUGAGUUUGAGGUGAGUUACUCUAAUCUAAUUGGUCCUGACUAGCCGGUCCUGACUAAUCGGUCCUGACUAGCUGGUCCUGACUAGCCUGUCCAAGAACCAUCCUGAUGUACUUCAGUCUCAGCUCAUCAGAGAGAUGUACAGCAUAGGAAACUGUCAUAAAAAAAAGUAAGUAUUUGGACCAUAUUUUUCAUGUCUCUUUUUGUCUAGAAAUGCUCUCCCCACUGCCUCCAUAGGCUCCCUGACCAGCCAUGCUCUGCUGCGGGUGCUCACCAUGCUGUAGUUACAAUUGUCCCCUCCCCCGAGGUCAGCGCUGAGCCCUCUCUCCCAGGUGGUGAAGCCCAUGCAUGGGGAGCUGUGUGUGGAGGGUCUGAGGAUGGCCUCUACCCUCCUGGGUCCUGGGCUGGUGCUGCUCAGUAGGGAUUCAGGCAGAGGGGGUAGAGGGGCUGCAGCCAGUCCAACACCAGACAGGUGCAUGUCUAAUGGUGUCUAAUGACCCAGAGCACAUAUGGAGUGCACCAGUUUUGCUGGCUCCUUCUGAAAUAAAUAAUUGCCACAAA